rnacentral:rRNA from 1 species
AUACGGAGGAUGCAAGCGUUAUCCGGAUUUAUUGGGUCUAAAGGGUGCGUAGGCGGAUGAUUAAGCGUGAGGUGAAAUGCCACUGCUCAACAGUGGAACUGCCUCGCGAACUGGUUGUCUUGAAUGCUCCUGCCGUGGGAGGAAUGUGUGGUGUAGCGGUGAAAUGCAUAGAGAUCACACAGAACACCGAUUGCGAAGGCAUCUCACGAAGGGGUGAUUGACGCUGAGGCACGAAAGCGUGGGGAUCAAACAGGAUUAGAUACCCUGGUAGUCCACGCAGUAAACGAUGAUAACUAACCGCUGGGUCGUAGUGAUUCAGUGGCCAAGCGAAAGCGAUAAGUUAUCCACCUGGGGAGUACGACCGCAAGGUUGAAACUUAAAGGAAUUGACGGGG